rnacentral:rRNA from 1 species
AUUGAACGCUGGCGGCAGGCUUAACACAUGCAAGUCGAGCGGGGUGAUGGUGCUUGCACUAUCACUUAGCGGCGGACGGGUGAGUAAUGCUUAGGAAUCUGCCUAUUAGUGGGGGACAACAUCUCGAAAGGGAUGCUAAUACCGCAUACGUCCUACGGGGGAACGCAGGGGAUCACUUGUGACCUUGCGCUAAUAGAUGAGCCUAAGUCGGAUUAGCUAGUUGGUGGGGUAAAGGCCUACCAAGGCGACGAUCUGUAGCGGGUCUGAGAGGAUGGUCCGCCACACUGGGACUGAGACACGGCCCAGACUCCUACGGGAGGCAGCAGUGGGGAAUAUUGGACAAUGGGGGGAACCCUGAUCCAGCCAUGCCGCGUGUGUGAAGAAGGCCUUAUGGUUGUAAAGCACUUUAAGCGAGGAGGAGGCUCUUUUGGUUAAUACCCAAGAUGAGUGGACGUUACUCGCAGAAUAAGCACCGGCUAACUCUGUGCCAGCCGCCGCGGUAA